rnacentral:rRNA from 1 species
CCUACGGGAGGCAGCAGUAGGGAAUAUUGCUCAAUGGCGGAAACCCUGAAGCAGCAACGCCGCGUGAGGGAUGAAGGUUUUAGGAUUGUAAACUCCUUUUGUUAGAGAAGAUUAUGACGGUAUCUAACGAAUAAGCACCGUCUAACUCCGUGACAGCAGCGGCGGUAAUACGGAGGGUGCAAGCGUUACGCGGAAUCACUGGGCGUAAAGAGUGCGUAGGCGGGGUAAUAAGUCAGGUGUGAAAACCGGGAGGAUAAAUACAGAACUGCAUUUGAAACUGUUACUCUGGAGUGUGGGAGAGGUAGGUGGAAUGCGUGGUGUAGGGGUAAAAUGCGUAGAGAUCAAGAGGAACACUGAUUGCGAAGGCGGCCUGCUGGAACGUAACUGACGCUGAUGCACGAAAGCGUGGGGAGCAAACAGGAUUAGAUACCCGUGUAGUC